GGCAGAGAAGCGAUGACAGCCUGAGUCAGGACCAUGGUCUGUUGGCUCAGUGUAAACAGGCAGCCCCUUUCUACCGGAAUGUGGAAAUUAAAGUUAGCUGUCUCUAAUUGAAGCAGAUCAGCCAUGACAGCUGAAUUACUUGCUUACAAGGAAGUCUCGCUCCUUCAGCUGUAUGGCAGAGGUGAGAGUGAUGAGCUCUGUACAGCUCGGAAAACAGAACAUGAUUGCAAAAUCAAGAUAAUGUUCCAAAAGUGAGCCCGACACUGUAUGAAACCACGAAGACUGGGUCUGUCUGCUCCCACUGGGACCUGAACUACAGCUCUGCAGAAGCCCUCUGUGCUCCUUUGUUGUAGGGCUGGGUCUGUUUGCCCCACGGAUGCCUGCUCCCACCUGCCUCUGCCUUGCCCGCAGAGACACCACUCCUUCCCACGGAACUUCCCAACCAACGCCACCUUGUUCAACUCUGUUUGAUAAGAGCUUUCUUCUCUGCUGAAAGUGACUCUCUUUCUUCCUGUUCAGAAAGCUUGAGAGUUAGAAACAGGCUGGAUGACUACGGACUCGAAGUUUUUCUAUACCUAGUGCUGAGCCUACGAUAAUCAAAGCCAGCUACCUUAUGCUAGCAUUUCUCCUUACUCUGCAAAGCCUGUGUGCAUACAACUGCUAAAUAAAAAAAGAAAGGCAA